AAUAUACUCCCUCCGUCCAACAAAGGAUGUCUCAACUUUGACCAAAUUUGAAUGCAUCUAUAUACUAAGUCAUGUCUAGAUACAUCCAAAUUUUGACAAACUUGAGACAUCUUUUGUUGGACGGAGGAAGUAGUAC
rnacentral:pre_miRNA from 1 species